GGCUCCUAAUAGAGUACUGGAAGAUGAGUACAAGCAUAAGCUUAUUCAAAAUCUGAAGUUCCCGACUGCACGAGACAUGUACUCCCUAUGUUCCUAAAUAUAAUUCAUGUUAGAGAUUCCACUAUAGAGACUAGAUUCGGAUGUACAUAGACGCCUUUUAGAGUAUAUGUUCGCUCAUUUUGCUAUGUAUGUAGUCUAUAGUGAAAUCUCCAAAAAGACUUAUAUUUAGGAACGGAGGGAGUAUUUUGUAAUCUUUUUCUUCUUUUUCAUUUUCUUCUACUUAUUUUCAGUUUGAACGAACGGAGGGAACAACAUGAAGAUGGGUAGCACUAUACAGUUUUAUAGCAGUAACAUUUUGCGAGCUUCUUAAAUUUGGUAUCUAUGAAUAGUUGAUUUGUUCUUUUUGAUUUAUAGCCUUGUAGAUGUUCACCUCUCUGCCAGAUUUCCAUAAUGGAAUGUCGUCCGGUGUAUUCGAUGGGCAGCUCAGCUUGCACGUGAAUUGGACGUGGCAAAGCUUAUCUUGGAGCAGACUCAAAAACAGUGGCGGCUAAAUUAAGAAGCUCGGAAAUUGAUAGAUCAAUCUAUGGCCUAUUGCUGAGGAGGUAAAGGAGUGCAUGCGAUCAAGAGAGGAGUUUCAGGGUGGUAUGGGUGAGAUGCUUGACUAAUGGAGCUUCUCUUUGGCUAACUAAAGAGGAUUGUGCGAAUAAGUUAUGUGAAACUUGGGCCAGGUACAUAUCAAAUCGUAUUCGUGAUGUUUUUGGUCUCGGAUCGAUUUCAACUAAAAAACAUGACUGUUUGAGUUGUCAAUAGGAGCAUCUAUAGCCGGAUUUAGCAAAUCCACGCACCCUAAAAGUCCACAGAAGCGUCCAGUCAGUGUCCGUUUUGAGCCUCUAUUUGUCCGUUCAUGCAACCAUACUCCUCAUUUUGUCCCUUAUAUAUCCGGUGACGUGCAUGUGCUUGGUGGAGAUGAAGAAAAAGAAAGAAAAGGUAGUGCAUGGUGGGCCACAUCCUACAUGGCGGAUCGACCAUGCGCGUCUAUGAGCCUCAUAUACUCCCCAUAUUUGAUGUCAAUGUGAGAUUUUGCGGAUAGCCUGGACCGGGGAUGAUAUAAG
rnacentral:lncRNA from 1 species